CUCCCGAGUAGCUGGGACUACAGGCGCCCGCCAUCGCGCCCGGCUAAUUUUUUGUAUUUUUAGUAGAGAUGGGGUUUCACCGUGGUCUCCGUCUCCUGACCUCAUGAUCUGCCCGCCUUGGCCUCCCAAAGUGCUGGGAUUACAGGUGUGAGCCACCCCACCCGGACCCUUCCUUCUAAUAACGCUAUGGGUUUUAUUUAUAAGGUCUUCAUUCACUUUAUAAGAUUCGAGAGAACUUUGUUCCAAUCUUGGCUCUGCUGCUACUUUUAAUAGACAAAAUUCCUCACGUGCCAUGAAGUUGCUCAGUUCUGAAUUACUGCCAAAAAUUGAAGAUAUGCUUUACAACACUUGCAGAUAACACCUAUGCCAUAUAUGUGGACAAAAUGAAGAGAAGGAGGCUGUGGGUGAAGGCU
rnacentral:lncRNA from 10 species